rnacentral:rRNA from 1 species
AUUGAACGCUGGCGGCAGGCCUAACACAUGCAAGUCGAGCGAGCGGCGGACGGGUGAGUAAUGUAUGGGGACUGCCCGAUAGAGGGGGAUAACUACUGGAAACGGUGGCUAAUACCGCAUACCAUCGGAUAACCCAUAUGGGAUUAGCUAGUAGGUGGGGUAAAGGCUCACCUAGGCGACGAUCUCUAGCUGGUCUGAGAGGAUGAUCAGCCCAACUGGGACUGAGACACGGCCCAGACGCCUACGGAGGCAGCAGUAGGGAAUAUUCGGCAAUGGACGAAAGUCUGACGGAGCAACGCCGCGUGAGUGAAGAAGGCUUUAGGGUCGUAAAGUUCUUUUGUUAGAGAGGCGGUACCCACCGAGGAAGCCACGGCUAACUCCGUGCCAGCAGCCGCGGUAAUUC